CCUACGGGGGGCAGCAGUGAGGAAUAUUGGUCAAUGGGCGAGAGCCUGAACCAGCCAAGUCGCGUGAGGGAAGACGGUCCUAUGGAUUGUAAACCUCUUUUGUCGGGGAGCAAAAAGCGGUACGUGUACCGCUUCGAGAGUACCCGGAGAAAAAGCAUCGGCUAACUCCGUGCCAGCAGCCGCGGUAAUACGGAGGAUGCGAGCGUUAUCCGGUUUUAUUGGGUUUAAAGGGUGCGCAGGCGGCGGAUUAAGUCAGCGGUAAAAUUUAGGGGUUCAACCCCGACCAGCCGUUGAAACUGGCUUUCUAGAGUGGGCGAGAAGUAUGCGGAAUGCGUGGUGUAGCUGUGAAAUGCAUAGAUAUCACGCAGAACUCCGAUUGCGAAGGCAGCAUACCGGCGCCCAACUGACGCUCAGGCACGAAAGCGUGGGUAUCGAACAGGAUUAGAUACCCUAGUAGUC
rnacentral:rRNA from 1 species